AUUGAACGCUGGCGGCGGGCUUAACACAUGCAAGUCGAGCGGGGUGAUGGUGCUUGCACUAUCACUUAGCGGCGGACGGGUGAGUAAUGCUUAGGAACCUGCCUAUUAGUGGGGGACAACAUCUCGAACGGGAUGCUAAUACCGCAUACGUCCUACGGGAGAAAGCAGGGGAUCAUUUGUGACCUUGCGCUAAUAGAUGAGCCUAAGUCGGAUUAGCUAGUUGGUGGGGUAAAGGCCUACCAAGGCGACGAUCUGUAGCGGGUCUGAGAGGAUGAUCCGCCACACUGGGACUGAGACACGGCCCAGACUACUACGGGAGGCAGCAGUGGGGAAUAUUGGACAAUGGGGGGAACCCUGAUCCAGCCAUGCCGCGUGUGUGAAGAAGGCCUUAUGGUUGUAAAGCACUUUAAGCGAGGAGGAGGCUCUUUUGGUUAAUACCCAAGACGAGUGGACGUUACUCGCAGAAUAAGCACCGGCUAACUCUGUGCCAGCAGCCGCAGUAA
rnacentral:rRNA from 1 species